ACCAUGGAAACGGUCACGUGCGCCUGCCUCCUGGUUAUUCCACCCUGGUCAGGAGGAUGAUGCAAGCUCCGAGCCUCUUCAUUGGCUGCCACCUUCCUCUUGCCACCGAAAUCUGGUGGGAGAUUGGCUGAGGACAGUUGCUGGGCUGGAGCUAGCCUUUCCCUUUCUCCCCCAUCCCUCCCACAGGAACCUGCUGGAAGCUGUUCUGAACCAGAGAAGGAUGAAAAUAGCUGCCAAAGAUGUUGCCAUAGCAACUGCUUUCCUUCCUGACCUCCUUGGAAGUGAACUCCCUCAUUUUCCAGAGUAGUCAAGGAAUUUCUGUGCCUCUACCCAUGGCUUUGGUUACCAACUCAUCCCUGGGGGCCUUGGUUUCUUUCUGUGAAAUGGAAUAUUCAUUCCAGCACUCACCACCUUCUAGGCUGGAGUAAGGCUCCAACUUUGCAAAUGCUGUUAGUAAACUGUAGAGCUCCGUGC
rnacentral:lncRNA from 1 species